AGCGAACGCUGGCGGUAGGCCUAACACAUGCAAGUCGAACGGCAGCACACUAAGAGCUUGCUCUUACGGGUGGCGAGUGGCGGGCGGGUGAGGAAUACAUCGGAAUCUACUUUUUCGUGGGGGAUAACGUAGGGGAACUUACGCUAAUACCGCAUACGACCUACGGGUGAAAGCAGGGGAUCUUCGGACCUUGCGCGGUUGAAUGAGCCGAUGUCGGGUUUGCUAGUUGGCGGGGUAAUGGCCCACCAAUGCGACGAUCCGUAGCUGGUCCGAGAGGAUGAUCAGCCACACUGGAACUGAGACACGGUCCAGACUCCUACGGGAGGCAGCAGUGGGGAAUAUUGGACAAUGGGGGCAAGCCUGAUCCAGCCAUACCGCGUGGGUGAAGAAGGCCUUCGGGUUGUAAAGCCCUUUUGUUGGGAGAGAAAAGCAGCAGGUUAAUACCCCGCUGUUCUGACGGUACCCAAAGAAUAAGCACCGGCUAACUUCGUG
rnacentral:rRNA from 1 species